AGACACAACUAUCCACCAAUCAGUUUCAUACUUGAGCGCUUUUAUCCCCUCCCCCCCCCAGACGGACAGUAUCCAUGAAACGUAACUGAGGAGUUUCGACUUCGUUGUGGCGCCGUUCGCAAGCUAGUACACUGGAGCAACAAUGGUCAAGAUCUUCAUUGGGAACCUGUCUCAGCACACUGAGAAGGAGGACAUUGAAGCUCUGUUUACCCAAUAUGGCACAGUGACAGAAUGUGCCAAGUACAAAAACUAUGCUUUUGUCCAUAUGGAAGACCGCAAGUCUGCCACCAAAGCCAUCCGUGAGCUCCAUCUCCAUAAGCUGAAUGGCAGACCCAUCAAUGUGGAGCCCAGCAGAGGGAAGGACCAGUACCCUGUGAAGCUCCACAUCGCCAACGUAGAAAAGGGCUUUGACGACGAGCUCCGUGCCCUGUUUGAAGAGUAUGGCACAGUCAGAGAGUGCGCCAUUGUCAAGAACUUCGCCUUUGUACACAUGGACAGCUCUGAUGAGGCCAUGGAUGCCAUAAAGGGCCUGGACAACACAGAGUUUCAAGGAAAGCGCAUACACGUUCAGAUAUCAAAAAGCAGACCCAGAGGAGAGGAGGAGGAGUACCCACACCCCCCGCCAGGCAGAGGAGGCUAUUAUCCUCCCCGCUUCCCAGGGGAGAGGCCCGAGCAUCCCUACAGAGAGCGCAUGCCCGCUUACGCUCCUCUGCCUCCGCCGCCCCCUCCCCCGAGACGGGCAUCGUAUCCCGACCGUGGCUAUGGCGAGCGCGACGCCUACGGGAUGGUCGAUUUCUAUGAGAAAUACAGAGCCCGCCCUUACAGCAUGGCCGGCUACGAUGGCAGGCGUUCCAGUGACCCCCCUCCUCCGCCUCCCCCCUCUGCACUGGUUAGAGAACGUCUCGGCAUGGGUCCCCCCGACCCGUACGACCGCCGUCCGCUCCCUCCCCCUCCUCCUCCGUCCUACAUGGCCCGGGAUCGAAGCCCCAUCAGACGAGCCCCGCCUCCGCCCGCUCCCUCGGCUGGUAACGGGUACUCCUACGAGCGGUCCCGGCUGUCCCCGCUGUCCAGGGCUCCCAUGUAUGCUCCUCCGAUGUACGGAGCUCCUCGCCCGAGGGACUCCUUCUCAGAGAGAGGGCCGCCGCCACCACCCCCACGAUAUGCGGGUUAUUAGGCACACAGGAGUGUAAUUCAAGGUUGUUAGUGUCAAUGCUGGAGAUGCCAGCUCAUGGUAAGAUGUGCAGCAUCCUGUAGAAGAGGGGUAGGUAUCGUUUAAACUUUUCUGCACAACACUUACUCAUGCAACUAAUGGUCUCAUGUCUCCCUCUUGUGUUGAUUCAUUCAUACUGCAGUGUUCCCAUACAUUAGGAAGAAUCCGUCUAUAAAGUUGUUGGAAGCCUUGACGUUUUUUUUUUUUAAUACACUCCAGUUGUGCAUCUUGCCAAAAAAAAUUAAUUAAUUAAUCCAUUAUCCUAGAUAUGAGGUAAUGAAGAUAUGAUGGUGUUGUGAUGAGUGGGAUCGCUGACCCUGUUUCUUUGGCUCCAGGCAUGCCUCUGCUCUGCCAGCUGUAAUGGUUCUUAAAAAUGAAUUCAAAGGAGUUUGUGGUCUCUGAACAUCACAAGAUGGGGUCAGAUGGCCCUGUAGUUAAAAAGGAGGUGGAUUGACUGGUGAGCUAGAGGGGAAUGUCCAGUCCUCGGGACAACCUGCACUGUCGCACACUCGAUCCGUCUCAAACGAUGACAAAGACCCUCCAUUAGUCCCACCCACGGGGGGUCCUCUAACCUACUGCUCCCCAACCUGAGGGUUCCCGGGUCACCACAGCUUAACAGGGGCUUGUGAGGCCUUCUUGAUUUUAAGGGGUGUAAGACAACCAAAAUUUGGAUUAUUAUUAUUUUAGGUAUAAACAGGACCAGAAUCGAUGUUCCCAGAGCCUUCCCUCUCUGCUGAAAAGCCUCGUCCUGCAUUAGAGAAGUAUGCAGUUAAAAAAAUCAAAGAGCUAAUAAAACCAUGGCCAAGUGUCAGGGAGAAGAUAACACUGAAUUUGUCUAAAAAAA